rnacentral:rRNA from 1 species
UCGAGCGGACAGAUGGGAGCUUGCUCCCUGAUGUCAGCGGCGGACGGGUGAGUAACACGUGGGUAACCUGCCUGUAAGACUGGGAUAACUCCGGGAAACCGGGGCUAAUACCGGAUGCUUGAUUGAACCGCAUGGUUCAAUUAUAAAAGGUGGCUUCUGCCUACCCUUAAAAAAGGACCCCCCGCCCCUUAACUAAUUGGGGAAGGAACCGCUCCCCCAAGGCACCAAGCCUAACCCAACUGAAAAGGGGAACCGGCCCCCUGGGACCUAAAACCCGCCCCAAACCCUACCGGAAGGCACCAUAAGGAAACCUCCCCCAUGGACCAAAAUCCGACCGAACCACCCCCCCUGAAUGAAUAAAGGUUUCCGAACCGAAAAAUCCGGUGGUAGGGAAAAACCAGUACCGGUCCAAAAAGGCGGGACCCUGGCGGGAACCAAACAAAAAAGCACCGGUUAAUAACUGGCCACAACCACCGUAAUACCUAAGAGGGAAGUCGUCUCCCGAAUUAAUGGGC